rnacentral:misc_RNA from 1 species
GCUCAAAAGGAAUGAGAAGUAUGAAUCUUAAAAUUGGUGAUUUUGUGUCUUAGUAAUUCGGAGGCAAACUUGCAUCAUAUUUUGUUGGAAGUCAUAUAGAGUUGGGGACAAGCCAACUGGUGUGUGCCUAUUACUUGUUUUAGCUCAAAAUGGGCCUAUCCAUCAGUUCCAAUUGCUAGGACAUAUCCAUAUUAUCUGUUCAUGGCCAUAAAUAGAAUCUGUGCAUGGAUCUCUGUGGUUUCAUCAUUCUUUUUAAGUAGCGUAGAAAAGACAUCCAUUUUUUGUUUUGUCCAUUCGUUCCUAGAAAGGAAAAGAAGUUGGAGGGGAGACGUAGCUGAAGUUACUUCAUUCAAUUGUUUGACAUAAGUUGACUUGCAAAAUAUUUGUUUUAUUUCUUGAGUGAUGGGCUCUUUCUGUGCAUAUUUCACUAUUGUCAAUAAAAAGGCUUGUUAUAUGAUUUAAUGGUCUUACUUGAUACUUGCAUUGCAGAAUGGCUUAUGGAAUACCAUCAAAGUAGACCAGGUUUGAAGGUGUUGCAACAAAGGAUAGAUCAGUUUGUAACUGCUCAUGAGGAAAAACUUGAA